rnacentral:lncRNA from 1 species
GCUCUUCCUAGUGUGUCUUUUUCAUCUGUGCUCAGGAUUCGGGCGCUCCCUCUUUCGGGUCAUUGAUUUUCUAUUUUUUACCUUUUUUUUUUCUUUUUUUUUCUCUUUUGGAGAAGAUUGGCAGCUUUCUCCGGACAAUGGAUUUAUAUAAAAGGAAUCCCGCUGAUUUACGACUAACAUGCGGAACUUUAUUUUUAUCGUACAUGCC